GUCCCGCAACGAGCGCAACCCUUGUCUUUAGUUACCAUCAUUCAGUUGGGGACUCUAAAGAUACUGCCCCGGUCAACGGGGGAGGAAGGUGGGGAUGACGUCAAGUCCUCAUGGCCUUUAUGUCCAGGGCUACACACGUGCUACAAUGGGCUGUACAAAGGGUCGCGAACCCGCGAGGGUAAGCCAAUCCCAAAAAGCAGUCCCAAGUUCGGAUUGGAGUCUGCAACUCGACUCCAUGAAGCUGGAAUCGCUAGUAAUCGCGGAUCAGCAUGCCGCGGUGAAUACUCCCGGGCCUUGUACACACCGCCCGUCACACCAC
rnacentral:rRNA from 1 species